CCCGGUGACUCAACGCCGUGGAACUACCUCUUCUCAUUCCGAACAGAGCCGUAAAACGCGGUAGUGCCGAUGAUACUCUUUACGGGGAAAGUAGGUAGUCGCCGGGA
rnacentral:rRNA from 1 species